rnacentral:rRNA from 1 species
CGGAUUGGAGGCUGAAACCCGCCUCCAUGAAGUUGGAUUCGCUAGUAAUCGCGCAUCAGCCAUGGCGCGGUGAAUACGUUCCCGGGCCUUGUACACACCGCCCGUCAAGCCAUGGGAGCCGGGGGUGCCUGAAGUUCGUGACCGCAAGGAGCGACCUAGGGCAAAACUGGUGACUGGGGCUAAGUCGUAACAAGGUAAC